rnacentral:rRNA from 1 species
CGGGGGAGCAAGCGUUGUUCGGAUUUACUGGGCGUAAAGGGCGCGUAGGCGGCCACCGCAAGUCGACUGUGAAAUCUCCGGGCUUAACCCGGAAAGGUCAGCCGAUACUGCGGGGCUAGAGUGCAGAAGGGGCAACUGGAAUUCUCGGUGUAGCGGUGAAAUGCGUAGAUAUCGAGAGGAACACCUGCGGCGAAGGCGGGUAGCUGGGCCGACACUGACGCUGAGGCGCGAAAGCUAGGGGAGCGAACGGGAUUAGAUACCCCGGUAGUCCUAGCCUUAAACGAUGAAUGCUUGGUGUCUGGGGUUUUAUAGUCCCCGGGUGCCGUCGCUAACGCUUUAAGCAUUCCGCCUGGGGAGUACGGUCGCAAGACUG